rnacentral:rRNA from 1 species
GACGAACGCUGGCGGCGUGCCUAAUACAUGCAAGUUGAGCGCUGAAGGUUGGUACUUGUCCCGACCGGAUGAGCAGCGAACGGGUGAGUAACGCGUGGGGAAUCUGCCUUUGAGCGGGGGACAACAUUUGGAAACGAAUGCUAAUACCGCAUAAAAACUUUAAACACAAGUUUUAAGUUUGAAAGAUGCAAUUGCAUCACUCAAAGAUGAUCCCGCGUUGUAUUAGCUAGUUGGUGAGGUAAAGGCUCACCAAGGCGAUGAUACAUAGCCGACCUGAGAGGGUGAUCGGCCACAUUGGGACUGAGACACGGCCCAAACUCCUACGGGAGGCAGCAGUAGGGAAUCUUCGGCAAUGGACGAAAGUCUGACCGAGCAACGCCGCGUGAGUGAAGAAGGUUUUCGGAUCGUAAAACUCUGUUGGUAGAGAAGAACGUUGGUGAGAGUGGAAAGCUCAUCAAGUGACGGUAACUACCCAGAAAGGGACGGCUAACUACGUG